UAUCAGUAUGAGAUAGCAGUUGCAGUGUAAGGAUGCAGAAAGAGAUUGUCAUGCUUGAAAUUAUGUGCCUGCUUCAAUCAUUGGACGGUGGAAGAAAGCAUGCAGCUGUUUGAAUGAUUGAAAGACAGCUGAUCUGCAUCAAGAGAGAAAUGGCAUCGGAUGAGAAGCUCAGCCAGUGUUUGGUUUCAUACCAGUGUCUUUCCUCUUCAUCUGUGACAAACUGUGAUUCAAGCUCCUCUGAGUUGAUCAUUCCUCAGACAGUUGCAAACACUACCUUGUUGUCAUGGGCGGAGACUAUACAAUGCAUGGAGCUCUGUUGACAUAUUUUGGAGGUGGGGCACAACCAGGCCCAAGUGCCAGUGCUACAGCUGAUGAUACAGCAGAUCCAUCCUCCAUAGGUGAGGAUCCUGAUGUUCCUUCCAUGUCCGUUUCAACCUCCGAAGGUGUAGCAGGUCAUUCUACUUGUGGUCAUUGGGAUCUAUUACAUCUACUCCUUCAACUUUCAGCCUACCCUAUGGAUCAGAAGCUCCUCCAGUUGACCCAGUCGAGUGGUCAUCUAUUCUGUCUGACUCUGAAAGGACUGAUCUGGUAAGCAGAGGGUCACUGCCUAAAAAGGAAAACUUCACAUUUCCUAAAUAAACCUGAUGGCCGAAGCUUCCACUACACCUACAGGCAAUUAAUUAAUGGGGGAGGGAAUCAAGCGGAGUCUGUUUGUUUCUUUUGUAUAAGAUACUGUUUUUUUUGUAAUAUUUGCCUAAAACACUGAGGCGUACCCAAUGUCAAUUGCGUGCUGUUCUUG
ensembl:lncRNA